UACGAAGGGGGCUAGCGUUGCUCGGAAUCACUGGGCGUAAAGGGUGCGUAGGCGGGUCUUUAAGUCAGGGGUGAAAUCCUGGAGCUCAACUCCAGAACUGCCUUUGAUACUGAGGAUCUUGAGUCGGGAGAGGUGAGUGGAACUGCGAGUGUAGAGGUGAAAUUCGUAGAUAUUCGCAAGAACACCAGUGGCGAAGGCGGCUCACUGGCCCGAUACUGACGCUGAGGCACGAAAGCGU
rnacentral:rRNA from 1 species